UCUGCCUUGGUACCUAAGGAGGAAGAGGAGGAGGAGGAGGGUGUGUUACUGAAUGGUGGCUAAAGCCUCCUCGGGACGGCGCUGAGGUGAAACAGGCUGAACCCGACUGAUGUGGCUCCUCUCUCGGUUGGACCCAGUGCCCUAAGCAGCCGAUGAGAGACCCCCGGCCGCCCGUCUCGCAGGUUUCUUUUUAGUGCUGAAAUGGACACACUAAUUGUGAACCACGUGGCAAGGAGCUCCUUCUAAAAUAUGCAGCAGCACAUUUACUGGAAUUUAACAGGCUGAGUACUUUAAAGCCUCUCUUGCCUGUAAGCAUGUGAACAGACCUGGCAAGUCACAAAGCCAGCUCGAGAUCCAGCACAGCACAGAACAGCAGCCCUGGAACAGCCCCUGCCACUGGGCAAGGGACAGAAAGGAGAUGGUGACCUGCAACGGGAGGAGAGACCUCACUUACAGGAUUUGCUCACGGUUUUGCUUCUGGCAACUAACAUUUCCAUUUUUCUCAAAGCUUCUACAUCUGUGUCAUCAGACAAAGCCCCACGAGUGGUGGCAGAGCAAACUGUAGCCUUCAAGUUCGAAGAGAAAAAAAUUAUUUACAUGUCUAAAUCCCAGAACUGGCUGUCUAGAGGUCACUCUUUGUUGCCCACUGCUAUAAACCAUUAAGGCUUCCCAAAGCUCUAAAAGAAAUGGGACAUAGUCUGGGGCAGAAAAACCUCUUGUUUUAAAUUUGCUUAAAUUCUUUUUCAUUAUAUUAUAUGAUUUUUGUUCUACCAGAGGAACAUGAAAGAUGGGCUGUUUCUAUCAUUGCUUGCAUGAAUGACUACUUAAAUUGACUGUCAGAGCUUGCAGGACAAAUCUUUGAGCCUUCUUAAGUUUGUUUUAAACUGAAAGAAAUGAUCUUUUAAUUGAUUAGGACUUUAGGCUAUUUUAAAAGGAAAAUUAUUGAUUCAUGUAAUGAAUUUUACUGUUUUAUCAGCCUCCCACCUCAAUAUAUAUAUAUAUUUUUAAUUACAAAUUUAGGUAAAUGUUUAACUAUGUGUUUUAAUGUUGCCCUGCCUUUUUUUUUUCCCUUUCCUGUUUAAGACAGGUUUUUCUGAAUCAAACCCUGGAAUUUAGUGACAAUUACUACAAUUUCCAGACAUAUCAGCAAGAGUUUCUGUACUAAGUGUAGGAAUGUAGAUGUUAAGAGGAUGAACAAGUAAUGACUUUUUUUUCCAUUCACAAAGGAAACACUAAGACAUCAAGGUUCUUCAACAGAAAUUAAUAAAUGCAGCCUGGAAAGUUAUUAUUUUUCCAAACUGUGAGAGGAUCUCUGAAAGAAUAAAGAUGACAUA